rnacentral:rRNA from 1 species
GAUGAACGCUGGCGGCGUGCCUAAUACAUGCAAGUCGAACGCAUAGCGAAAGGUGCUUGCCCCUUUCAAGUGAGUGGCGAACGGGUGAGUAACACGUGGACAACCUGCCUCAAGGCUGGGGAUAACAUUUGGAAACAGAUGCUAAUACCGAAUAAAACUUAGUGUCGCAUGACACAAAGUUAAAAGGCGCUUCGGCGUCACCUAGAGAUGGAUCCGCGGUGCAUUAGUUAGUUGGUGGGGUAAAGGCCUACCAAGACAAUGAUGCAUAGCCGAGUUGAGAGACUGAUCGGCCACAUUGGGACUGAGACACGGCCCAAACUCCUACGGGAGGCUGCAGUAGGGAAUCUUCCACAAUGGGCGAAAGCCUGAUGGAGCAACGCCACGUGUGUGAUGAAGGCUUUCGGGUCGUAAAGCACUGUUGUAUGGGAAGAACAGCUAGAAUAGGAAAUGAUUUUAGUUUGACGGUACCAUACCAGAAAGGGACGGCUAAAUACGUG